UACGGAGGGUGCAAGCGUUAAUCGGAAUUACUGGGCGUAAAGCGUGCGCAGGCGGUUUGUUAAGUCUGUUGUGAAAUCCCCGAGCUCAACUUGGGAAUUGCAAUGGAUACUGGCAGGCUGGAGUAUGGUAGAGGAAGGUGGAAUUCCCGGUGUAGCAGUGAAAUGCGUAGAGAUCGGGAGGAACACCAGUGGCGAAGGCAGCCUUCUGGACCAAUACUGACGCUCAUGCACGAAAGCGUGGGGAGCAAACAGG
rnacentral:rRNA from 1 species